UGGGGAAUAUUGCACAAUGGGCGCAAGCCUGAUGCAGCAACGCCGCGUGAACGAUGAAGGUCUUCGGAUCGUAAAGUUCUGUUGCAGGGGAAGAUAAUGACGGUACCCUGUGAGGAAGCCCCGGCUAACUACGUGCCAGCAGCCGCGGUAAUACGUAGGGGGCUAGCGUUAUCCGGAUUUACUGGGCGUAAAGGGUGCGUAGGCGGACUUUUAAGUCGGGGGUGAAAGCCCAGGGCUCAACCCUGGAAUUGCCUUCGAUACUGGGAGUCUUGAGUUCGGAAGAGGUUGGUGGAACUGCGAGUGUAGAGGUGAAAUUCGUAGAUAUUCGCAAGAACACCGGUGGCGAAGGCGGCCAACUGGUCCGAAACUGACGCUGAGGCGCGAAAGCGUGGGGAGCAAACAGG
rnacentral:rRNA from 1 species